ACCUGGCUGUCUCAGUCCAUAGAGCACAUGACUCUUAUUCUUGGGGGUCAUGGGUUUGAGUCCCAUGUUGGGUG
rnacentral:tRNA from 1 species